UGGGGAAUAUUGCACAAUGGGCGAAAGCCUGAUGCAGCGACGCCGCGUGCGGGAUGAAGGCCUUCGGGUUGUAAACCGCUUUUGAUUGGGAGCAAGCGAGAGUGAGUGUACCUUUCGAAUAAGCACCGGCUAACUACGUGCCAGCAGCCGCGGUAAUACGUAGGGUGCAAGCGUUAUCCGGAAUUAUUGGGCGUAAAGAGCUCGUAGGCGGUUUGUCGCGUCUGGUGUGAAAGUCCAUCGCUUAACGGUGGAUCUGCGCCGGGUACGGGCAGGCUAGAGUGCGACAGGGGAGACUGGAAUUCCCGGUGUAACGGUGGAAUGUGUAGAUAUCGGGAAGAACACCAAUGGCGAAGGCAGGUCUCUGGGUCGUCACUGACGCUGAGGAGCGAAAGCGUGGGGAGCGAACAGGAUUAGAUACCCUGGUAGUCCACGCCGUAAACGGUGGAUGCUGGAUGUGGGGCCCAUUCCACGGGUUCCGUGUCGGAGCUAA
rnacentral:rRNA from 1 species